AAAUUGAAGAGUUUGAUCAUGGCUCAGAUUGAACGCUGGCGGCAGGCCUAACACAUGCAAGUCGAACGGUAGCACAGAGAGCUUGCUCUCGGGUGACGAGUGGCGGACGGGUGAGUAAUGUCUGGGAAACUGCCUGAUGGAGGGGGAUAACUACUGGAAACGGUGGCUAAUACCGCAUAACGUCGCAAGACCAAAGAGGGGGACCUUCGGGCCUCUUGCCAUCAGAUGUGCCCAGAUGGGAUUAGCUAGUUGGUGAGGUAACGGCUCACCAAGGCGACGAUCCCUAGCUGGUCUGAGAGGAUGACCAGCCACACUGGAACUGAGACACGGUCCAGACUCCUACGGGAGGCAGCAGUGGGGAAUAUUGCACAAUGGGCGCAAGCCUGAUGCAGCCAUGCCGCGUGUAUGAAGAAGGCCUUCGGGUUGUAAAGUACUUUCAGCGGGGAGGAAGGUGUUGUGG
rnacentral:rRNA from 1 species